GGGUCAGAGUGGGGCUGUGACCCCCCCCCCCCCGGGCCAUGGGAUGGAUCAACCCGUGGCUGUGACCCCCCCCCCACAGUCCAUGGGUUGAAUCCAUCCAUGGCCACAUUCCCGCCCCAUGAUCCAUGGGAUGGAGCAGUCUGUGGCUGUGACCCCCCCGUGGUUCAUGGGAUGGAUCAGCCCGUGGCUGUGACCCCCCCAUGGUCCAUGGGAUGGAUCAGCCCGUGCCCCCCCCCAGACCCCCCCAGUGUGUGCAUGGUGUGUGCCAGCACGGCCGCUGUCUCGUCCCCCCCUGCGACUGGGAAUGGACCGUUCCUCCCCCCCAAACUGGGCACAAGCUGGGGGGGUUCGGGCGCAACCACAACCCGGGGCGGGGGGGAGUCUGCAGGGACGUCUGGGGGGGUCCCGGCCACCCCCCACACCCUGCAGAGCCCCCUCUGGAACCCCAAAUCUGACCCUGAGCAGGAGAUACUUCAUGUAUAACACACACGUGUUCCUGGGACACCCCCUGGGGCCACACAUGUGUCCCUGGGACACCCUUGGGGUCACACACGUGUCCUCUGGGUCACACACGUGUCCUCUGGGUCACCCCCUGGGGUCACAUAUGUGUCCCCUGGGUGGCACACGUGUCUUUCAGUCACCCCUGGGGGUUCACACACGUGUCCUUUUGGCACCCCCCGGGGUCACACACAUGUCCCCAGGUCACACAAGUGUCCCCUGGGGUCACACAUGUGUCCUCUGGGUCACACAUGUGUGCCUGGGACACCCCCUGGGUCACACACGUGUCCUCUGGUGUCCCCCUGGGUCACACAUGUGUCCCCUGGGGUCACACACGUGUCCCUGGGCCACCCCCUGGGUCACACAACAUGUCCUUCGGGCACUCCCAGGGCGUUACACACGUGUCCCCCGGGUGACACGCGUGUCCCCGCGCCCCCCCCGCCCCCGGUGCCCCCCGUGCCCGCGGGUAACACGCAUGCCUUGUUUGUCUCCUCUCGCCCCCCCGGCCCCCCGUGGCCCCUCGGGACGUAGCGAAGCAGAAGCAGAAGUU